UCCCCUUUCUCCUUUAUUCCGUAAUAAAUA
rnacentral:piRNA from 1 species